UGAGGAAGUAAAAGUCGUAACAAGGUCUCCGUAGGUGAACCUGCGGAGGGAUCAUUACCGAGUGAGGGUUUCGGCCCGACCUCCAACCCUUUGUGAACCACUCUUGUUGCUUCGGGGGCGACCCUGCCGUUCGCGGCGGCGGCGCCCCCGGAGGUCAUCAAACACUGCAUUUAUUAUGUCGGAGUCUCAAGUAAAUUGAACAAAACUUUCAACAACGGAUCUCUUGGUACUGGCAUCGAUGAAGAACGCAGCGAAAUGCGAUAAGUAAUGUGAAUUGCAGAAUUCAGUGAAUCAUCGAAUCUUUGAACGCACAUUGCGCCCCCUGGUAUUCCGGGGGGCAUGCCUGUUCGAGCGUCAUUUCACCACUCAAGCCUGGCUUGGUAUUGGGCGUCGCGGGUUUCCGCGCGCCUUAAAGUCUCCGGCUGAGCUGUCUUGAACCCUAGCGUUGUGAAUCAUAUUCGCUAUGGGUGACGGGCGGCCGCGGCCGUUAAAUCUUCAAAGGUUGACCUCGGAUCAGGUAGGGAUACCCGCUGAACUUAAGCAUAUC
rnacentral:rRNA from 1 species